rnacentral:tRNA from 1 species
AUUUAUAUAGUUUAAAAAAAACUUUACAUUUUCAUUGUAAAAAUAAAUACUUAUUUAUUUUAUAAAUA